rnacentral:rRNA from 1 species
CGAGAAAAGAAACCAACAGGGAUUACCUCAGUAACGGCGAGUGAAGCGGUAAUAGCUCAAAUUUGAAAUCUGGCCUCUUGGGGUCCGAGUUGUAAUUUGUAGAGGAUGUUUUGGGUACCGCCCCGGUUUAAAUUUCUUGGAACAGAAUGUCAAAGAGGGUGAGAAUCCCGUCUUGGACCGGUGGUAGGGCCUGUGUAAAACUCCUUCGACGAGUCGAGUUGUUUGGGAAUGCAGCUCAAAAUGGGUGGUAAAUUUCAUCUAAAGCUAAAUAUUGGCCAGAGACCGAUAGCGCACAAGUAGAGUGAUCGAAAGAUGAAAAGCACUUUGAAAAGAGAGUUAAACAGUAUGUGAAAUUGUUGAAAGGGAAGCGCUUGCAAUCAGACUUGAGCGCGACGGUUCCCCUGACCUUUUGGUUAGGCUACUCCGUCGUGUCCAGGCCAACAUCGGUUCUGAGGGUCGGUCAAAGGCCUUGGGAAUGUAUCUACCCACGGGUAGACUUAUAGACCAGGGUGUCAUGCGGCCUCUCGGGACCGAGGAACCGCGCUUCGGCUCGGAUGUUGGCGUAAUGGUUGUCAGCGACCCGUCUGGAAACACGGACCG